rnacentral:lncRNA from 10 species
CAGAUGUGUGUAUUUGAUUCAUAAUUAGAGAAAUAUAUGAGAUUAUUUUUUUCUGGUACUUGUACUAUCUUUUCCACUGUGGUGUCUGACUACUGUUUCAUAAGCCAGGAUGUUGGAGGCACACUCCACUCUUCUCCCUCCUUGAGGGGAAGCCUCAGAUGCUGUAACUUCUUUCAGUUUUGCAAAGCUAUGCGGGACAUAGAAAGUCACUCAACCUCUUCCUUUAUUUAAGGUGCCCCCAAGGAACUAAACUAUGUUGGUUUUGGCAGUGCCGUAAGUGAGCUGAUCUUGGCUUUGUGUUCACGUGAGACACCAGGACUUCUGAACUGGAUUCAGGACGUCUCAUUAAGGAAACGAUGAUGGUGAGGACAACAUGUGGUGACCCACAGGAACAUAAUCAUGUUAACUCCUGACUCUGCAAAAACUUAGCACGUGGCAUUGUUUUUAGCAUCUUCUAAGAAGCCGACAUUGAUUAAAUAGACAUUUGUUUGACUGCAUUAGAUUGCUUCUGGAAAGGACACACAAUCCACCUCUUUUCUCAGGAUAAAAACCUGUAAAAUAAAAUAUUAACUAUUAAGUUUAAGACCUAUAAGUGAAAGACAGAAAAAAUCACAAUAUGCAACGAAUUUCUGUGUUACCCUGUCUUCCUGUGAGGAUUAUCUAUUUUUCUCUCCUUCUGUGGCAAUAUAUACAGUCACAUCUUUAGAAAGAAGCAACUUCAAAGUGCUUUUUUCCAUGUAGUAGUCCAGUGAGAAAAUUGAAAACUAAAUAAAUCAGUUGAAAUAAUUUUUAUUCCUUGAGCUGAUCUUUAUUCAGUCCAUGGAGGAACAGGUGAACUUGUUUAAAUCUGCACUAAGAAUACCGACAAUUUUUAUUACCACGGGUGAAGGGAGGGCUUCUAAAUCCAAAGCUCCAGAGAGUGAUGGGAAAGCCCUAACACAGUCUCCACAGUGUGCUUGAAGAAGAUUUUGACCUUCAGUACUCACUAAAUCUAACAAGUGUGAAGUAAUAUCUCAUCAUGGUUUUAAUUUACGCUUCCCUGAUGAUUAGUGAUGUUAUGUUUUCACAUACCUGUUGGCCACUUGUAUGUCUUCUUUUGUGAAAUGCCUAUUAAGUUCCUUUGCUCAUUUUAAAAUCAGGUUAUUUGUUUUCUUGCUAUUAAGUUGAAUUAUCUAUAUAUUUUGAAUAUUAAUCCCUUAACAGAUGUAUGAGUUGCAAAUGUUCUCCUGUUCCCUAGAUUGCGUCUUAACUUUUUUUAUUGUUUCCUUUGCUGUGUAGAAGCUUUUAGUUUGAUAUAAUCCCACUUGUCUAUUUUUGCUUUUGUUGCCUAUGCUUUUUUGUCAUAUCCAAAAAAACUCAUUGCCUAGACCAAUGUCAUAGAGUAUUUCCUCUAUGUUUUCUUCCAGGAGUUUUCUAGUUUUGGUUCUUGCAUUUAAGUCUGUACUUAAUUUUGAGUUUGCUUUUGUGUGUGAUGUGAGAUGAGGGACUAAUUUCAUUCUUCUGCCUGUGAUAUCCAGUUUACCCAACACCAUUUAUUGAAGAGACUAUCCUUUCCCCAUUGUGUGUUCUUGCCAACUCUGUCAACAAUCUGCUGACUUUAAAUACAUGAAUUUUGUUCUGGGCUUUCUAUUCUGUCCCAUUGUUCUGUCUCUCUGUUUUUUAUGCCAGUACCAUCCUGUUUUGAUUACUAUAGCUUUGUAGUGUAUAUUGAUGCCAAGUACCAUGAUGCCUCCAGCCUUGUUCUUUUUGCUCAAGAUUACUUUGUCUAUUUGGAGUCCUUUGUGGCUUCACAAAAAAAUUUUAAUUUUUUUUCUAUUUCUGUGAAAAAUGUCAUCAGAAUUUUGAUAAGGAUUGCAUCAAAUCUGUAGAUCACUUGGGUCAUAUGAAAAUUUUAACAAUAUUAAUUCUUCCAACCCUUAAACAUGAAUAUCUUUAAAUUUAUUUACAGCUUCUUUAAUUUCUUUAUUAAUAUGGAGAAAUGAAAAUGCUGACACACAGUUGUGAGAAUGUAAUUAUUACAGCCACUGUGAAAAACAAUAUGCAGGUUUUGGCUGGGUGCAGUGGCUCACAUCUGUAAUCCCAUCACUUUGGGAUGUGAGGUGGAUGGAUCAUCAGAGGUCAGGAGUUCAAAACCAGCCAGGCCAACAUGAUUAAAAGUUGUCUCUACUAAAAGUACAAAAAUCAGCCGGGCUUGGUGGCACGUGCCUGUAAUCCCAGCUACUAGGGAGGCUGAGGCAGGAGAAUCACUUGGACCCAGAAGGUAGAGGUUGCAGUGAGCCAAGAUUGCACCACUGCACUCCAGCCUGGGUGACAGAGUGCAACUCUGUCUACAAAAAACAAAUGAAAGAAAGAAAGAGAGAGAGAGAGAGAGAGAGAGAAAGGAAGGAAGGAAGGAAGGACGGAAGGAAGGAAGGAAGGAAGGAAGGAAGGAAGGAAGAAAGAAAGAAAGAAAAGAAAGAGAAGAG